rnacentral:rRNA from 1 species
GACGAACGCUGGCGGCGUGCUUAACACAUGCAAGUCGAACGGAAAGGCCCUGCUUUUGUGGGGUGCUCGAGUGGCGAACGGGUGAGUAACACGUGAGUAACCUGCCCUUGACUUUGGGAUAACUUCAGGAAACUGGGGCUAAUACCGGAUAGGAGCUCCUGCUGCAUGGUGGGGGUUGGACAGUUUCGGCGGUUGGGGAUGGACUCGCGGCUUAUCAGCUUGUUGGUGGGGUAGUGGCUUACCAAGGCUUUGACGGGUAGCCGGCCUGAGAGGGUGACCGGCCACAUUGGGACUGAGAUACGGACCAGACUCCUACGGGGGGCAGCAGUGGGGAAUAUUGCACAAUGGGCGGAAGCCUGAGGCAGAAACGUCGCGUGCGGGAUGACGGCCUUCGGGUUGUAAACCGCUUUAGCCUGUGACGAAGCGUGAGUGACGGUAAUGGGUAAAGAAGCACCGGCUAACUACGUG